rnacentral:rRNA from 1 species
UACGUAGGGGGCUAGCGUUGUCCGGAAUCAUUGGGCGUAAAGCGCGUGUAGGCGGUCCGGUAAGUCCGCUGUGAAAGUCGGGGGCUCAACCCUCGGAUGCCGGUGGAUACUGUCGGGCUUGAGUACGGAAGAGGCGAGUGGAAUUCCUGGUGUAGCGGUGAAAUGCGCAGAUAUCAGGAGGAACACCAAUUGCGAAGGCAGCUCGCUGGGACGUGACUGACGCUGAGACGCGAAAGCGUGGGGAGCAAACAGG